AACGAACGCUGGCGGCGUGGCUAAGGCAUGCAAGUCGAGCGGAUAUAUCCUGAUCGCAAGUGACGGAUAUAUUAGCGGCGAACGGGUGAGGAGUGCAUGGACAACGUACCCUGGACUUGGGAAUAGCGGCGGGGAAACCCUUUGCGAAAGUGCCGGUAAUACCCAAUGACCUCGCGGAAUCGCAUGGUUUUGCGAGCAAAGCUCCGACGGUCCUGGAGCGGUUCAGUCCUAUCAGCUAGUUGGUGGGUAACGGCCUACCAAGGCGGCGACGGGUAGCGGGCGUGAGAGCGCGACCCGCCACAUCGGAACUGAGACACUGUCCGGACACCUACGGGUGGCUGCAGCAACGAUAUUCCGCAAUGGGCGCAAGCCUGACGGAGCGACGCCGCGUGCA
rnacentral:rRNA from 1 species